GGUUAAGCGACUAAGCGUACACGGUGGAUGCCUAGGCAGUCAGAGGCGAUGAAGGGCGUGCUAAUCUGCGAUAAGCGUCGGUAAGCUGAUAUGAAGCGUUAUACCCGACGAUACCCGAAUGGGGAAACCCAAUGUGUUUCGACACAUUAUCAUUACGUGAAUACAUAGCGUAAUGAGGCGAACCGGGGGAACUGAAACAUCUCAGUACCCCGAGGAAAAGAAAUCAACCGAGAUUCCCCUAGUAGCGGCGAGCGAACGGGGAGGAGCCCAGAACCUGAAUCAGUUUGUGUGUUAGUGGAAGCGUCUGGAAAGUCGCACAGUAAAGGGUGAUAGUCCCGUACACAAAAAUGCACAGAUUGUGAGUUCGAUGAGUAGGGCGGGACACGUGACAUCCUGUCUGAAUAUGGGGGGACCAUCCUCCAAGGCUAAAUACUCCUGACUGACCGAUAGUGAACCAGUACCGUGAGGGAAAGGCGAAAAGAACCCCGGCGAGGGGAGUGAAAUAGAACCUGAAACCGUGUACGUACAAGCAGUGGGAGCCUUGAUUAAUCAGGGUGACUGCGUACCUUUUGUAUAAUGGGUCAGCGACUUAUAUUCUGUAGCAAGGUUAACCGAAUAGGGGAGCCGCAGGGAAACCGAGUCUUAACUGGGCGUUAAGUUGCAGGGUAUAGACCCGAAACCCGGUGAUCUAGCCAUGGGCAGGUUGAAGGUUGGGUAACACUAACUGGAGGACCGAACCGACUAAUGUUGAAAAAUUAGCGGAUGACUUGUGGCUGGGGGUGAAAGGCCAAUCAAACCGGGAGAUAGCUGGUUCUCCCCGAAAGCUAUUUAGGUAGCGCCUCGUGAACUCAUCUUCGGGGGUAGAGCACUGUUUCGGCUAGGGGGUCAUCCCGACUUACCAACCCGAUGCAAACUACGAAUACCGAAGAAUGUUAUCACGGGAGACACACGGCGGGUGCUAACGUUCGUCGUGAAGAGGGAAACAACCCAGACCGCCAGCUAAGGUCCCAAAGUCAUGGUUAAGUGGGAAACGAUGUGGGAAGGCACAGACAGCCAGGAUGUUGGCUUAGAAGCAGCCAUCAUUUAAAGAAAGCGUAAUAGCUCACUGGUCGAGUCGGCCUGCGCGGAAGAUGUAACGGGGCUAAACCAUGCACCGAAGCUGCGGCAGCGACACUUAGGUGUUGUUGGGUAGGGGAGCGUUCUGUAAGCCGUCGAAGGUGACCUGUGAGGGUUGCUGGAGGUAUCAGAAGUGCGAAUGCUGACAUAAGUAACGAUAAUGCGGGUGAAAAACCCGCACGCCGGAAGACCAAGGGUUCCUGUCCAACGUUAAUCGGGGCAGGGUGAGUCGACCCCUAAGGCGAGGCUGAAAAGCGUAGUCGAUGGGAAACAGGUUAAUAUUCCUGUACUCGGUGUUACUGCGAAGGGGGGACGGAGAAAGCUAGGUUAUCCGGGCGACGGUUGUCCCGGUUUAAGCGUGAAGGUGGAUGACUUAGGUAAAUCCGGGUCAUCGUUAACACUGAGGCGUGAUGACGAGUCACUACGGUGAUGAAGUAACC
rnacentral:rRNA from 1 species